rnacentral:lncRNA from 1 species
CGCCACAUAUUAUCUUAAAAUCCAUUUGUUUCCAAUUGAUUUACAUUGAGGCAGGAGAUCAACUAGUUCCCAAACCUUAUUUCUUAUCAUUGAGUCUAUCUCAUCCCUCAUGACAUCAAUCCACUCUUCACUAUUUUGUGAGUUCAUAGCCUCAUUAAAGGUGAUGGGUUCCUCAAGUUCUGAAGGAGUGCAUAUGAAAAUUUCUACUUCGAUUUGGAGAUAUCGUCGUGGAAUUUUUCCACGUUCACUACUUCAAAUUCUAGGACCUUCAUCACCUGCCUAACUAGAUGAUAAAUCUCUCCCACUAUCCCUUGGCGUGAGAUUUGGAAUUUGAAGACUAAUCUCAUGUUCCAAGCUCAGAUCUUG